rnacentral:lncRNA from 1 species
UGGAUGAGAUUAGCACGCCACUGGUUGCAGGGCUUCUUGCAGUAAGUAUUGACUCUCUUUUGCACGAUGUUGAGACUACUUUCUGGGUCCAGCGUAAUGUCUUUUGACAGUGAGUUGAACAGGUUAGCAACCUCUUUAUCACUUCCAAGGGCAUUUUGAAUAAUCCCUCUGGAGUACAGUAGGGCUACAUCUCGCUCAUUGUCUAUAAUGUUAUCCAUGAAGAAAAUAUAGGAAGUCACCUCAUGCCCCGCCCCAACAUGGAAAUUUUCAAAUGCAAUCAGAUUCAGAAACAUGGACUCUGUGGCAUCAUCCACAAUCAGG